rnacentral:miRNA from 1 species
UAACCAGGUUGAUAAUUGCAC